rnacentral:rRNA from 1 species
UACGUAGGCAGCAAGCGUUGUUCGGAGUUACUGGGCGUAAAGAGUGCGUAGGCGGUUCCGUAAGUUUGGUGUGAAAUCUCCCGGCUCAACUGGGAGGGUGCGCCGAAGACUGCGGUGCUUGAGUGUGGGAAAGGUAGGCGGAAUUCCUGGUGUAGCGGUGAAAUGCGUAGAUAUCUGGAGGAAUACCGGUGGCGAAGGCGGCAUCCUGGACCAUAACUGACGCUGAGGCGCGAAAGCUAGGGGAGCAAACGGG